CAAUAGCGUAUACUAAUGUUGUUGCAGUUAAAAAGCUCGUAGUUGAACUUCUGGUAGGAGUGUCCCGGCCUUUUUGUUUUUACAAAUUGUAUGCUGUGUGACAUCUCUGGCCAUCCUUCUUCUUUGUUUAAAGAAGAUCUUUCACUGUAAAAGAAUUAGGGUGUUCAAAGCAAAAGUUUCUUUGGAAUAUAUUAGUAUGGGAUGAUAAGAUAGGCUCUAGAUGCUAUUUUGUUGGUUUGCACAUUUAGAGAAUGAUUAACAGGGACAGUUGGGGGUAUUCGUAUUUACAUGUCAGAGGUGAAAUUCUUGGAUUUUGGAAAGACGAACUACUGCGAAAGCAUUUACCAAGGAUGUUUUCAUUAA
rnacentral:rRNA from 1 species